rnacentral:rRNA from 1 species
CCUACGGGGGGCAGCAGUGGGGAAUAUUGGACAAUGGGGGGAACCCUGAUCCAGCCAUGCCGCGUGUGUGAAGAAGGCCCUCGGGUUGUAAAGCACUUUCAGUGAGGAAGAACGCCUGGUGGUUAAUACCCAUCAGGAAAGAUAUCACUCACAGAAGAAGCACCGGCUAACUCCGUGCCAGCAGCCGCGGUAAUACGGAGGGUGCGAGCGUUAAUCGGAAUUACUGGGCGUAAAGCGCGCGUAGGUGGCUUGAUAAGCCGGUUGUGAAAGCCCCGGGCUCAACCUGGGAACGGCAUCCGGAACUGUCAAGCUAGAGUGCAGGAGAGGAAGGUAGAAUUCCCGGUGUAGCGGUGAAAUGCGUAGAGAUCGGGAGGAAUACCAGUGGCGAAGGCGGCCUUCUGGACUGACACUGACACUGAGGUGCGAAAGCGUGGGUAGCAAACAGGAUUAGAUACCCCUGUAGUC